rnacentral:lncRNA from 1 species
ACAUUAUUGGUUAAUUAAGUUUUACUGACUCUCAUGCUCAAGACAGAGAAUAAAAAAAGAAAAAUAAAAGGAGCAGUCAUACCUAAAUCCAUGUACACUGAGGAUGGAAACAUGUAACUAACUCUAAUACUUGAUUUAGGACGCUAAUAAAACGUAGUACGAGUAGCAAUAUCAACUUAUUUAUGUACACUGACGCCGAGGAAAAUCAUCUUUAUGUACACCUUCGUCAAAAUUCUGUGAGUAACUAACAGCAUCAUACUGAAACUUCAGCGUCUUCUUCCCAUAGUUCACAUUCUUGCCUUCCUUCACUAAUUUCUUCAACAACUUUCUCCAUAAUUUCGCCCGAUUCCAGCUACCUCUUCCACGUUGACACGUGUUUAUUUGCGAGUACUCAGCGUGCACCGGAAUGCAAGACGGUGACAUACAACCAUACAAGCUCUGAGACGCCGGUCGCCGGUAAUUGGCAUCGGCUCCCAUGGAUGGAAAAUAUGGGCGUAUUGCCAAAGAUAAUAUGUUUGUUUUUGUAGUGAGAUUUUAGUGGAAAGUUUGUUCCGUUUCUCUCUCCUAUAAUUUUUUAUUUGAAGUGUUUAACGGGUAGAAUGGACGAUAAGUACAAGUACUAGUAAAAAUGUCUAUCCUCUCUGUACCACUUUUCUGUGGACCUUGGGCAAGUUAGACAUUUGAC